UGCCAGCAGCCGCGGUAAUACGUAGGUGGCGAGCGUUGUCCGGAAUUACUGGGCGUAAAGGAUGAGUAGGCGGUCUGCUAAGUCAGGUGUGAAAUUCCAGGGCUCAACUCUGGACUUGCACUUGAUACUGGCGGACUUGAGGGCAGGAGAGGAAAGCGGAAUUCCCGGUGUAGCGGUAAAAUGCGUAGAUAUCGGGAGGAACACCAGUGGCGAAGGCGGCUUUCUGGACUGUACCUGACGCUGAGUCAUGAAAGCUAGGGGAGCGAACGGGAUUAGAUACCCCGGUAGUCCUAGCCGUAAACUAUGGGUACUAGGUGUGGAAGGUAUCGACCCCUUCCGUGCCGCAGCUAACGCAAUAAGUACCCCGCCUGGGGAGUACGGCCGCAAGGUUAAAACUCAAAGGAAUUGACGGGGGCCCGCACAAGC
rnacentral:rRNA from 1 species